UGCAGUCGAGCGGAACGACACUAACAAUCCUUCGGGUGCGUUAAUGGGCGUCGAGCGGCGGACGGGUGAGUAAUGCCUAGGAAAUUGCCUUGAUGUGGGGGAUAACCAUUGGAAACGAUGGCUAAUACCGCAUAAUGCCUACGGGCCAAAGAGGGGGAUCUUCGGACCUCUCGCGUCAAGAUAUGCCUAGGUGGGAUUAGCUAGUUGGUGAGGUAAUGGCUCACCAAGGCGACGAUCCCUAGCUGGUCUGAGAGGAUGAUCAGCCACACUGGAACUGAGACACGGUCCAGACUCCUACGGGAGGCAGCAGUGGGGAAUAUUGCACAAUGGGCGAAAGCCUGAUGCAGCCAUGCCGCGUGUAUGAAGAAGGCCUUCGGGUUGUAAAGUACUUUCAGUUGUGAGGAAGGGGGUAGUGUUAAUAGCGCUAUCUCUUGACGUUAGCAACAGAAGAAGCACCGGCUAACUCCGUGCCAGCAGCCGCGGUAAUACGGAGGGUGCGAGCGUUAAUCGGAAUUACUGGGCGUAAAGCGCAUGCAGGUGGUUCAUUAAGUCAGAUGUGAAAGCCCGGUGCUCAACCUCGGAACUGCAUUUGA
rnacentral:rRNA from 1 species